rnacentral:rRNA from 1 species
AACGAACGCUGGCGGCAGGCCUAACACAUGCAAGUCGAGCGGUAGAGAGGUGCUUGCAUCUCUUGAGAGCGGCGGACGGGUGAGUAAUGCCUAGGAAUCUGCCUAGUGGUGGGGGAUAACGUUCGGAAACGGACGCUAAUACCGCAUACGUCCUACGGGAGAAAGCGGGGGAUCUUCGGACCUCGCGCCAUUAGAUGAGCCUAGGUCGGAUUAGCUAGUUGGUGAGGUAAUGGCUCACCAAGGCGACGAUCCGUAACUGGUCUGAGAGGAUGAUCAGUCACACUGGAACUGAGACACGGUCCAGACUCCUACGGGAGGCAGCAGUGGGGAAUAUUGGACAAUGGGGGCGAACCCUGAUCCAGCCAUGCCGCGUGAGUGAUGAAGGCCUGGUUGUAAGGACUCUUUGGUCGGGUACGGAGUG